GGUCUUAAGCCGGAGGAAGUGGGAUGACGUCAAGUCAGCAUGGCCUUUAUGUCCUGGGCUACACACACGCUACAAUGGCCAACACAAUAGGUUGCUAAGCCGCGAGGUGGAGCCAAUCCUCAAAGUUGGUCUCAGUUCAGAUUGCAGGCUGCAACCCGCCUGCAUGAAGAUGGAGUUGCUAGUAACCGCAGGUCAGCUAUACUGCCGGUGAAUACGUUCCCGGGGCUU
rnacentral:rRNA from 1 species